rnacentral:rRNA from 1 species
GUGAGGAAUAUUGGUCAAUGGGCGAGAGCCUGAACCAGCCAAGUCGCGUGAGGGAAGACUGCCCUAUGGGUUGUAAACCUCUUUUGACGGGGGAUAAAGUGCGGGACGUGUCCCGUAUUGCAGGUACCCGUCGAAUAAGGAUCGGCUAACUCCGUGCCAGCAGCCGCGGUAAUACGGAGGAUCCGAGCGUUAUCCGGAUUUAUUGGGUUUAAAGGGUGCGCAGGCGGCCUGUUAAGUCAGCGGUGAAAUCUCGGGGCUCAACCCCGGAACUGCCGUUGAUACUGGUAGGCUUGAGUGCGGAUAAGGAUGGCGGAAUGUGUCAUGUAGCGGUGAAAUGCUUAGAUAUGCCACAGAACACCGAUUGCGAAGGCAGCUGUCCGGGCCGUAACUGACGCUGAGGCACGAAAGCGUGGGUAUCGAACAGGAUUAGAAACCCUAGUAGUCC